rnacentral:rRNA from 1 species
CGGAGGGUGCAAGCGUUAUCCGGAUUCACUGGGUUUAAAGGGUGCGUAGGUGGGCAAGUAAGUCAGUGGUGAAAUCUCCGGGCUUAACCCGGAAACUGCCAUUGAUACUAUUUGUCUUGAAUACUGUGGAGGUCAGCGGAAUAUGUCAUGUAGCGGUGAAAUGCUUAGAUAUGACAUAGAACACCAAUUGCGAAGGCAGCUGGCUACACAAAUAUUGACACCGAGGCACGAAAGCGUGGGGAUCAAACAGGAUUAGAUACCCUGGUAGUCCACGCCCUAAACUAUGGAUACUCGACAUUUGCGAUAAACUGCAAGUGUCUGAGCGAAAGCAUUAAGUAUCCCACCUGGGAAGUACGAUCGCAAGAUUG